AUACGAAGGUGGCGAGCGUUGUUCGGAAUCACUGGGCUUAAAGCGCACGUAGGCGGAAAUGAAAGUGUUUUGUGAAAUCCCCCGGCUUAACCGGGGAAUUGCUUGGCAAACUACAUUUCUUGAGGCAAGUAGGGGUACAUGGAACUCUUGGUGGAGCGGUGGAAUGCGUAGAUAUCAAGAGGAACGCCAAAGGUGAAGACAGUGUACUGGGCUUGUCCUGACGCUGAGGUGCGAAAGCGUGGGGAGCGAACGGGAUUAGAUACCCCGGUAGUCCACGCCGUAAACGAUGUCUACUAGGUUGUGGGAGUUCUGACACUUUCACAGUCGAAGCAAAAGUGUUAAGUAGACCGCCUGGGGAGUACGGCCGCAAGGCUAAA
rnacentral:rRNA from 1 species